UGCUGACGGUGGACACGGAGUUGUCAUC
rnacentral:piRNA from 1 species